rnacentral:snoRNA from 1 species
CACUUCCAAUUCUAGGACAGCAUCAUGCAAUAAGAAAAGUAUGACAGAGGUACCCAUUCCAUUCCCAGCUUGCUCAGUAGCCGGAGAAUGGAAGACAAAGGGUAAAAAAU